ACUCUAGAUUUCUUAAUCAUCGGAUCUAAACAUUGGUCUGAGUGGCUAUAAAAGGGAAAAAAGCAAAACUGAAACAAACUUGCAUUCUUUUGUGACAUACAAGUUCAUUUCCAGCAAAC
rnacentral:snoRNA from 1 species